rnacentral:rRNA from 1 species
UUAAACAUGAGAGUUUGAUCCUGGCUCAGGAUGAACGCUGGCGGCGUGCCUAACACAUGCAAGUCGAACGAAGCAUCAUAAAGGAAGUUUACGGAUGGAAUUUAAGAUGACUGAGUGGCGGACGGGUGAG